UACGGAGGAUCCAAGCGUUAUCCGGAAUUACUGGGCGUAAAGAGUUGCGUAGGUGGCACUGUAAGUCGGUAGUGAAAGCGUGGGGCUCAACCCCAUAUACAUUAUCGAAACUGCAGAGCUAGAGGACGAGAGAGGCAUCUGGAAUUCCUAGUGUAGGAGUGAAAUCCGUAGAUAUUAGGAGGAACACCGAUGGCGUAGGCAGGGUGCUGGCUCGUUCCUGACACUAAGGCACGAAGCGUGGGGAGCAAACGGG
rnacentral:rRNA from 1 species